UAAAAAAAUAAACUGUAAAGCCUUAAGUUAAAUAUUAAACGUAAUAGGCAUGUAGAUGCUAGCGAUGAUCGUAGUCCCUUUCAUAUGGACAGAAAUGACAGAACUACAAAUAAGCUAUUCCCAUACGAACAAUUCCCAGGAUAUUGCGGUGUUGGGACUACACUCACUGCAGCGGUUUAAGAACAUCGAUCCUGAAGCGGAACCACUGGAACUGGCCGAUAGUUAUGCAUCUGACAUCAUCGUGGUCAGUGUCAGCGAGCAGCCACCGUGGAGCUUUGAGAGUCCGCCGGGUUCUGGAUGUUUUUGUGGAAUAUCGAUAUCCGUGCUGAAUCUAGUGGGCAAACAACUUGGACUGCGGUUUAAAGUGCGCACGGAAAACCCGACCCUGUACGCAACGACUCAGUUGGACGGCGCCAAAUACAGCGGCUCUCCAGCUGAACUGUUGCUAGGACGUGUCAAUAUCAGCAUUGCGUCGUUAGCCAUUACCUCCGAGCGGAAGAACAGUUUCGAUAUGGUCACCGGAAACCUGGUGCGAACCACCAAGAUUUCGGUGCAUGAAAGUUGGCUAACCGAUUCCGGCUACGCUACCCAGUCCAUACUGGACGCUCUUUUUGAUAAAGCCAUGACCAAUGCGUGGGUGAUACUUGUGUUGGCUGCAGCAUUUACCGUUGCAACGCUAUGUUUAGCGCAUCGCCCAAAGGACAAGGAAAACCGAUGCACAAAACUGUCCACCACGGAAUUGGCACUGAAUGCAUUAGCUGUUGCUUGGUCAGUAGCCGGCAGUUUCUUAGGUCAAGAUGACGUUCGACGCCCGCGGCACAGUGUCGGCGUAUCGAUAGCAGUCGCUGUCUGGCUGUUGUGCUUGUACUUUGGCACGUCGUGGAUUCUGGGCAAUAUCAGUUCCAGUCUGGCUGCGUCCGUAAUGGCAUUGCCUUUCUCCACUAUCGCGCAGUUUGUUCAGUCGGAUUUUCGUCCGGUAGUGUUACGAGAACGCUCCCCCGUAGAAUUUAUGGUACAGUUCGACAUCGGCCCAGCUGAUGUUGCAGGAAGGAAGAGGACUGGAGCCGUUACGUCAGAGGAUACGGCGCUUUGAUUUUUUCACUACGGAUGAAUCGAUCAAAGUGGUCGGCAUUCUGUCACAAACCGAACGGCUUGCCGUAUAUGAAAGCAAUGACGGGGCAGCAAUGUACAGCAAAGCAGGCUUUGUUCCGGCCAUUAAUCAUGUCUACGAAAGAUUUAUCUCCAUGUUCCAGAUGUUACACGGGUCACCAUUGGCAUCUCGUAUAAGCGAUACAGUAAGCUGGAUGUCGUUUACCGGCAGCAUCGAUCCUGUUAUCAAUGUAUAUAUGGAGAUUAUCCAUGCAGCGUACGGUAUUCCUCGCGUCCCACGCUCGACAUUACUUAAAAAGCGUACAAAUUCCAUCGGCAUACGGAGCCUUACAUCGACCAUCUAUGUGUAUUUCGGAUUUCUAAGUGUUGCCGUGAUGAUUUUCUGUAUUGAACUGUGUUACGCAAAAUACUCCGAGAGAAAAGACUGCAAUACCGCCAAUCAAACUGCCAACACGAGAAUGUUUUUCAGAACUGAAUAGACAGAACAGAUGCUUGGUAAAUACGUUAUACAAAUACUUGUACAUAUACGUUAUUGAUUUUCGUACUCUAGUGCAUACUCCACUAGAAAAAAGUAAAACUAGUCU